AUUGAACGCUGGCGGCAGGCCUAACACAUGCAAGUCGAACGAGUGGCGGACGGGUGAGUAAUGUCUGGGAAACUGCCUGAUGGAGGGGGAUAACUACUGGAAACGGUAGCUAAUACCGCAUACCAUCAGAUGUGCCCAGAUGGGAUUAGCUUUUUGGGGGGGUAACGGCUCACCAGGGCGCCGAUCCCUAGCUGGUCUGAGAGGAUGACCGCCCCCACGGGAACGGAGACACGGUCCAGACUCCUACGGGAGGAAGCAGUGGGGAAUAUUGCACAAGGGGGGCAAGCCUGAUGCAGCCAUGCCGCGUGUAUGAAGAGGGCCUUCGGGUUGUAAAGUACUUUCAGCGGGGAGGCGUUACCCGCAGAAGAAGCACCGGCUAACUCCGUGCCAGCAGCGCGGUAAUUC
rnacentral:rRNA from 1 species